GUGGGGAAUAUUGGACAAUGGGCGAAAGCCUGAUCCAGCCAUGCCGCGUGUGUGAAGAAGGUCUUCGGAUUGUAAAGCACUUUAAGUUGGGAGGAAGGGCAGUAAGUUAAUACCUUGCUGUUUUGACGUUACCGACAGAAUAAGCACCGGCUAACUUCGUGCCAGCAGCCGCGGUAAUACGAAGGGUGCAAGCGUUAAUCGGAAUCAUUGUGCGUAAAGCGCACGCAGGCGGUUUUGUAAGUUGGAGGUGAAAUCCCCGGGCUCAAACUGGGAACGGCCGCCAAAACUGCAUGACUAGAGUACGGUAGAGGGUAGUGUAAUUUCCUGUGUAGCGGUGAAAUGCGUAGAUAUAGGAAGGAACACCAGUGGCGAAGGCGACUACCUGGACUGAUACUGACACUGAGGUGCGAAAGCGUGGGGAGCAAACAGGAUUAGAUACCCUUGUAGUCC
rnacentral:rRNA from 1 species